CCACCGUGGCCUCCAGCCAACGGAUGAACCAGUUUAUUUUAAGGGAAAAUGACAGAGAUGUUAAUACCGAUCGCUAUCUGUUAACCUUGUGUAUGGAACUGAAUUACUGGUAUACUCUCUAAAUGAAUACAGGUGAACUGUAAGGUGAAUUACUGGUACACUCUCUAAAUGAAUACAGGUGAACUGUAAGGUGAAUUACUGGUACACUCUCUAAAUGAAUACAGGUGAACUGUAAGGUGAAUUACUGGUACACUCUCUAAAUGAAUACAGGUGAACUGUAAGGUGAAUUACUGGUACACUCUCUAAAUGAAUACAGGUGAACUGUAAGGUGAAUUACUGGUAUACUCUCUAAAUGAAUACAGGUGAACUGUAAGGUGAAUUACUGGUACACUCUCUAAAUGAAUACAGGUGAACUGUAAGGUGAAUUACUG